rnacentral:rRNA from 1 species
UACAGAGGUCUCAAGCGUUGUUCGGAAUCACUGGGCGUAAAGCGUACGCAGGCGGACCGUUAAGUCGGGUGUGAAAGCCCGGGGCUCAACCCCGGAACUGCAUUCGAUACUGGCGGUCUUGAAUACGGGAGAGGUGAGUGGAAUUCCUGGUGUAGAGGUGAAAUUCGUAGAUAUCAGGAGGAACACCGGUGGCGAAAGCGGCUCACUGGCCCGAUAUUGACGCUCAUGUACGAAAGCGUGGGGAGCAAACAGG